rnacentral:rRNA from 1 species
AGGCCUAACACAUGCAAGUCGAGCGGUAACGCAAGGAGCUUGCUCCUGGGUGACAAAAAAAAGACGGGUGAGUAAUGUAUGGGGAUCUGCCUGAUGGAGGGGGAUAACUACUGGAAACGGUAGCUAAGCCCGCAGAAUGUCGCAAGACCGAAGAGGGGGACCUUCGGGCGUCUUGGCAUCGGAUGAACCCAUAUGGGAUUAGCUAGUAGGUGAGGUAAUGGCUCACCUAGGCGACGAUCCCUAGCUGGUCUGAGAGGAUGACCAGCCACACUGGAACUGAGACACGGUCCAGACUCCUACGGGAGGCAGCAGUGGGGAAUAUUGCACAAUGGGCGCAA